UCAACACCUGAUUCAAUGUUUCGAACUGAAGCAGUAAAGUAUGCUCUAAUUGGCUUGAUGAGGGAUCUUAGAGGAAUUGCUAUGGCUACAAAUAGUCGCAGAACUUAUGGGCUUUUAUUUGAUUGGCUAUAUCCUGCUCAUUUGUCACUUCUCUUGAAAGGCAUCUCACAUUGGGCAGAUACACCAGAGGUUACUACCCCAUUGUUGAAAUUCAUGGCUGAAUUUGUGUUAAACAAAGCCCAACGUUUAACGUUUGAUUCUUCUUCUCCUAAUGGCAUUCUUCUUUUCCGGGAGGUCAGCAAGCUCAUUGUAGCCUAUGGCACCAGGAUCUUAGCUCUUCCAAAUGCUGCUGAUAUAUAUGCCUACAAAUACAAGGGAAUAUGGAUAUGCUUAACUAUUCUCUCUAGAGCUCUUGCGGGAAACUAUGUCAACUUUGGCGUGUUUGAACUUUAUGGUGAUAGAGCCCUCGCUGAUGUACUCGAUAUUGCUCUAAAGAUGACACUAUCAAUACCUCUAGCUGAUAUAUUGGCAUACCGGAAGCUGACAAGAGCUUACUUUGCAUUCUUGGAGGUUCUGUUCAGCAGCCAUAUUGUUUUUAUUUUGAAUCUGGACACAAACACCUUCAUGCA
rnacentral:misc_RNA from 1 species